GACGAACGCUGGCGGCGUGCUUAACACAUGCAAGUCGAACGGAAAGGCCCUGCUUUUGUGGGGUGCUCGAGUGGCGAACGGGUGAGUAACACGUGAGUAACCUGCCCUUGACUUUGGGAUAACUUCAGGAAACUGGGGCUAAUAUCGGAUAGGAGCUCCUGCUGCAUGGUGGGGGUUGGAAAGUUUCGGCGGUUGGGGAUGGAUUCGCGGCUUAUCAGCUUGUUGGUGGGGUAGUGGCUUACCAAGGCUUUGACGGGUAGCCGGCCUGAGAGGGUGACCGGCCACAUUGGGACUGAGAUACGGCCCAGACCCCUACGGGAGGCAGCAGUGGGGAAUAUUGCACAAUGGGCGGAAGCCUGAUGCAGCAACGCCGCGUGCGGGAUGACGGCCUUCGGGUUGUGAACCGCUUUCGCCUGUGACGAAGCGUGAGUGACGGUAAUGAGUGAAGAAGCACCGGCUAACUACGUG
rnacentral:rRNA from 1 species